rnacentral:lncRNA from 1 species
AUUAAAUCAGCUUCCCUAUUCUGUAGGGUUUAUCUCUUGGAAGUGUCAGCCAGAGGUUAGGGAUGGAUUAACACACAAUGCAAAGCUCUGCCAGCUAAAUCUCCUCCUUGUGGUUAGCCUUUAAUAAUAAAGUUGUCAUUAAAAGAAAAAAUUUAAUGGUUUUAAUUGGGUUUAAUUACUUGGAAACUGAUGGAAAAGAGAUCAGCUUGUUGAAAAAAAAUUUUUUGAGAAAGACAAGAAAAUGAUGGUCAUAAAGAAAAAAAUUGAUGAUUCACAUGUUUAAACAGCAAAGUUAAAAAAAAAUUGGCUCCUUUGGCAGUUAGGGAGAACAUAGAAAGUAGAAAAGAACUUCUGAGCUCAGCAAAUGGAUCUGUGUGCACUAACAAGAACUUAACUGAAAGACUGCAGGAACAAUUCUGUCAUUGCUGGAUCACAAGACAAACUGAUGAUAAAUGAUGACAUCAUGGUCAAGUAGAAGACAACAAAGAUAUCUUAACCCUUGUCUCUUUCGGGGUUUCAUGCAACUACUCUUAGAUCCCUUGAAGAAUGUUCUUUCAGCUGGAGAUGUAGUGUGGCUGUUAUUUUGCGAGGAUAUAAGUUUCAAGGCAAGGCCACAAAUAAGUAGAUAAAUGGAGCUGCAAACAUGGCAUAGGCAGCGGCUCGCAGUGCUAACAGCAGGGAAAGUUCUGGACAAGAAUGGAGGAAUGGUCACCCUAAUAUGAAUCACUAUCCAGGACCAACAGGCACUGAUGACAGGGGAGACCACGUGUUUCAGAAGUGUCAGGACGGGGUGUGGCUCAGCAGGUGCCCCCCCCCACCCAGCAAGCACAGCCUCCCCUGCGCGCGUCUCCUGUUUGUUCUUAACGGCUGUCAUACUUCGAUCUGAGAGACCCUGCCAUUCAUUUACUCUGCUGAAACUGCUUCCCACAUGCAGGCACCCUUCUAAGCCCCUGGAGUGUACAACUCAUGUACUCCUCCCCAGUAACCCUCUGAGAUGUCCUUCUGCAUUCACUGGGAAGGGGCUGGAAGAAGCGGGAAGUUGGCAAAAGAAGUUCGGGGAAGCAGGCAGUGUUUGUUACAUUUGUGGCUGGAGAAUGAGGUGGAGUCUUAACCAGGCCUAAAGCCCAUAACCCAAGCAGAGCGCUUCAAGGAGGAAAUGGCCUCGCUCAAGGUGGCAGAGGGCACAGGGCUUCAAAGGACGUCUCUGCUAAUGAGCAACCCC